GCCGAAGGAUGCAAGCGUUAUCCGGAUUCAUUGGGUUUAAAGGGAGCGUAGGCGGAUUGGUAAGUCAGUGGUGAAAUCUGUGGGCUUAACCCACAAACUGCCAUUGAUACUGCUGAUCUAGAGUACAGUUGCCGUUGGCGGAAUAUGACAUGUAGUGGUGAAAUACUUAGAUAUGUCAUAGAACACCGAUUGCGAAGGCAGCUAACGAAGCUGUAACUGACGCUGAGGCUCGAAAGUGCGGGGAUCAAACGGG
rnacentral:rRNA from 1 species